AGAUGAACAAUGACGUAUCGUCUCUAACUGGUAUAGAGAAGGAGAUACACUUGGGAGUGAUUGAUCCAAGAUUGAUAAGAUGGCCAAGCUCACAAUUUUACAGAUAUAUGGGCUCACUCACAACCCCUCCUUGCACAGGAGGAGUUAUUUGGAGCGUAAACAAAAAGGUACUUUCUGUUACAAAAGAACAACUGAGGUUACUUGAACGAGUCGUCUAUGGUCAUGCAAAGAUGAAUGCUAGACCAUUACAACGUCUUAAUGGCCGGGAUAUCACUCUCUUUGGUCCUCGGUGGGGAUUGCGUAACUGACCACCUCUAUUUUUGCUUCUCGUUAAAACGAGGCUGAAGGGGAGGGAGGGAAGGGAAUAUUCCAACGAGUUAGUACUUAGUAGGGUUUAGAACAUAUAGGGUUCACUAGCUUAGAAGCCACCACAUAAUCUACAUUUUCGAUCUUGUUGCAAUAAUUUAGGACUUUUUUUUUUUAAUAAACUAGGAUUUUUUUAAAAUAAAGUAGGACUUGCUUAUGUAGAUCGAGCAUAUAUACCCGCAUGGAAGAUGCUAUAUAUGUAUAAGUAGUUCAGAAGCCAUGGUAUGCAAGGCUAUCUCAGAAAUGACUUCAAAUUAAUUUGUUCCCACAUCUUUCAUUUCACUGUUUUCUUUUCAGAAUUUACUGCCAGUCUAUUUACCGAAUGUUGUCAAUUUCGUCCUGUAGUUGGAAAAUCAUCAUGCAAAGAAUUCUCUCUCUCUUUUUUUUAUACCGACAAUGUCCAAUCUCAUUUAAGUUUAGUACGUAGAAUUACAUGUCACAUAACAUUCAUGUGCUAAAACUUGGGUGAAGUUAAUCUUGUACGUACUGUGCUCAAUUACAGCAGGGCAUGCAUACUUAUAUACAAUUAAUGUAUAGUCUUAACUCUUAAUUUUCCGAGCUAGUAUAAAGUAAAGAGUUAAAUACUGUUUACUCUCUAUAUUUAUAGAGUUUCAUUAUUUCAAUCCCUGACUUUCGAAUUUCACCUAAAAACUUUUUAAACUCUCAAUUUCCUCCAAAUCAGUCCCUGCCGUCAAGCUCCGUCUAAAUUGUCCAUUAAAUUGCUGACGUGGCAUUUUUACACGCCGAACUGUCUAUUAUACCCUUACCUUAUAUAUUUUUUAAUUAAUUUAUUUUCUUUUUUCUCUCUCACCUUUUUUUUCCCUUCCUUUUUACCUCUUCGUUGUUCGUUGGAUCAGUGAUGUUCCAAAGAAUGGGCCUCCUCUCUCCUCUCCUCUCUUCUGUACUACUAGAUUUGCACUCUCUCUCUCUCUCAGAGGGUCGGUCCAUCCCUUCAAAGGCUUGAUCCAAGCGUCAUGGCCGCCGCUGCCAAUGCCUCAAUGACCAUGAAAGAGCAGCUCACGGUAAUUAUCCCACACCCCUAUCUAUCAGCUACUCGAAAGUGAAAACAUACUUAAAGCCUCGAUGAGCAUAUUGGGUUUGAGCUUCUUCAACUUGAUCACGGUCUCAGCAAAAUGUCCACUCCCUUGAUCAGGCAUAUCAUCCCGGUCCACUCAAGUAAUCACCACAUAAUCCAAACCCCACGACGCAAUCGCUUCCGCCACAUUCGCCGGCUGAUUGGGAUCCUAGAAGUUUUCCAAUUACAAAACCUGCACACAUUUCCAAUCAACAUUUCAACCACAAAACACGAAAGCCUCCUCUCUCACACACAUUUCGUCGAACACCUCACCUGCAACCGCACGUACAUGUGUCGCUGAGAAUCAUGAUAGUGGCGGUGGCGGUGGCGGUUUCGCCGCCGGACGAGCACUCGCCGAGAUUAGGACACUUGGCCUCCUCGCAGACUGUGUGGAGCUUCAAUUCCCUGAGCUUCUUCUUAAUCUGCAUGUACUUCUCGCCGACCGAGAUUGACUCCAUCCAUUUUGGCUUCGGCAAUGGCUUCUUCUUCGUGCCGACCUCCACGGAGUACGGACCUUCACCUUCAACGAAUUCCGUGAGUGCGAGACUCGGCGGCGAGGCCAGCCCGGAGGCCCACUAGGGUUGGCGGCAAUUGGGAGGAGAAGGUGGUUGACGGCGUGGAGGAGGAGAAGGAUCGGGUCGUGGACGUUAGGGUUCGGGUCAGGGUUGAGAACCGGGUCUGCAUCUUUCUCUCUCUUCGGGUUAAGGUGGUGAGAGAGAUUGGUUCAUGUGAUGAUGAUGAGUCGAUGGUGAGGAAGAAGAUGAGGGAGGUGGGAGGUUGGUCGUUUUGGUUAGUUGGCGCAGACUAUUUCGGAUCUUGGAUCUUGGAGAGAGAGAACUGGAAGAAGAAGAGGUAGAAAGAGGUAAAAAGGAAAAAAAAAACGUGAGAGAGAAAAAAGAAAAUAAAUAAAUUAAAAAAUAUAUAUAA